AGCAUAUCAAAGCGGAGGAAAAGAAACUANCAAGGAUUCCCCUAGUAACGCGAGUGAAGCGGGAAAAGCUCAAAUUUAAAAUCUGGCGGUUUCGGCCGUCCGAGUUGUAAUCUGGAGAAGUGUUUUCCGCGUUGGACCGUGCACAAGUUUCCUGGAACGGAGCGUCAUAGAGGGUGAGAAUCCCGUCUUUGGCACGGACCCCAAUGCUUUGUGAUACACUCUCAAAGAGUCGAGUUGUUUGGGAAUGCAGCUCAAAAUGGGUGGUGAAUUCCAUCUAAAGCUAAAUAUAGGCGAGAGACCGAUAGCGAACAAGUACCGUGAGGGAAAGAUGAAAAGCACUUUGGAAAGAGAGUUAAACAGUACGUGAAAUUGUUGAAAGGGAAACGCUUGAAGUCAGUCGCGUUGGCCGGGACUCAGCCUUGCUCCGGCAUGGUGUACUUUCCGGUUGACGGGCCAACAUCAAUUUUGACCUCGGGAUAAAGUCUAGGGGAAGGUGGCUCUUCGGAGUGUUAUAGCCUCUAGUCGCAUACCGAGAUUGGGAUUGAGGAAUCCAGUGCUUGCACUUGGGAUGUUGGCGUAAUGGCUUUAAACGACCCGUCUUGAAACACGGACCAAGGAGUCUAACAUGCCUGCGAGUGUUCGGGUGGAAAACCCGUGCGCGUAAUGAAAGUGAAAGUUGGGAAACCUGUCGUGGGUUGCACCGACGCCCGGACCAGAACUUUUGUGACGGCUCUGCGGUAGAGCAUGUAUGUUGGGACCCGAAAGAUGGUGAACUAUGCCUGAAUAGGGUGAAGCCAGAGGAAACUCUGGUGGAGGCUCGUAGCGAUUCUGACGUGCAAAUCGAUCGUCAAAUUUGGGUAUAGGGGCGAAAGACUAAUCGAACCAUCUAGUAGCUGGUUCCUGCCGAAGUUUCCCU
rnacentral:rRNA from 2 species